UGUGUCUUGACAUGCAUGCUCAGAAUACAGU
rnacentral:piRNA from 1 species